rnacentral:rRNA from 1 species
GACGAACGCUGGCGGCGUGCUUAACACAUGCAAGUCGAACGGAAAGGCCCUGCUUUUGUGGGGUGCUCGAGUGGCGAACGGGUGAGUAACACGUGAGUAACCUGCCCUUGACUUUGGGAUAACUUCAGGAAACUGGGGCUAAUACCGGAUAGGAGCUCCUGCUGCAUGGUGGGGGUUGGAAAGUUUCGGCGGUUGGGGAUGGACUCGCGGCUUAUCAGCUUGUUGGUGGGGUAGUGGCUUACCAAGGCUUUGACGGGUAGCCGGCCUGAGAGGGUGACCGGCGACAUUGGGACUGAGAUACGGCCCAGACUCCUACGGGAGGCAGCAGUGGGGAAUAUUGCACAAUGGGCGGAAGCCUGAUGCAGCAACGCCGCGUGCGGGAUGACGGCCUUGGGGUUGUAAACCGCUUUCGCCUGUGACGAAGCGUGAGUGACGGUAAUGGGUAAAGAAGCACCGGCUAACUACGUG